GACGAACGCUGGCGGCGUGCUUAACACAUGCAAGUCGAACGGGAGUAUUGAAGAAGCUUGCUUUAGAGAUACUUUAGUGGCGGACGGGUGAGUAACGCGUGAGGAGCUGUCCUAUGCAGGGGGACAACAGCUGGAAACGGCUGCUAAUACCCCAUAAGCCGAGAGGUAAAAGGAUCAAUCCGGCAGAGGAGGUACUCGCGUCCUAUCAGCUAGUAGGUGAGGUAACGGCUCACCUAGGCGAAGACGGGUAGCCGGCCUGAGAGGGCGAACGGCCAACACUGGAACUGAGAUACGGUCCAGACUCCUACGGGAGGCAGCAGUGGGGAAUAUUGGGCAAUGGGGGAAACCCUGACCCAGCGACGCCGCGUGGGUGAAGAAAUCCUUCGGGAUGUAAAGCCCUGUUGUAUGGGAAGAGCGGAAGACGGUACCAUACGAGGAAGCCCCGGCAAACUACGUG
rnacentral:rRNA from 1 species